rnacentral:lncRNA from 1 species
ACACAGAACAAGAAAUUUUAUUAUCUCCAAUGCUGGUGCAUGACAAAUAACAAGCUUAAUUAGAGGAGGAGACAGAGGGAAACUUCAGAUACCAAGGUAAUUUCUGGGCAGGUUUAAAACCUUUAAAAGUUGAUAGAAUAACUGUUCAUAAAGUCUUUUUAGAUAUAGCGCUUUUUACUUGACAACUUUUAUUAACAGUUCUUACAAUAUGAAGUUCAACUAAAGUCCUUCAUCUGUCAAGUUAAAACAGCAAGCAAAACAAAAUUUCUCUAGUAUAUAACAGCAUAAGCAAUGGUUUGUUUUCUUUGUACAUUCACACACAUUUAGUGUCUAGAUUUGAAACUUUUUAAUUAAGGAUGUCUUAAUUUUUGACUUUUAAAAAUGGUUAUGACAAUGGAUUUUCUUGAUUUAUAGAUCACAGUGGCUUUAUAAAUGAUCAAGAUACAUGUACAAACAAAAUUUCAGAUGCUCUUGGAAACACAUCUUAAGAUACAAAGCACACGUGAUACAUAUUUGAGUUUACUCAUCCAUUUAUCUUACACUGAAAAUGUAGCCUUUGAUAACUGUGGCUUGACUAGAUCACAAAAUAGAAUUUUCCAAGUUUUCUUAAGCUUUCAGUCCAAAUAACUCAAAAGAUAUGUGUCCUAGUUGGAUACAUUUUUUUCUCAUUAUAUAAUUAGUAUCAGUGGGCUUUUGUAUUGGCAGUUUGUCUUGGUCAUGACUUAUUCUUGCAAAACCAUCUUUACAGCAAACAAAUAUGAAAGAUAUUUUCCCCAAUGCAAGGAAAAUAAUCUGGAUCAAUAACAAAGUCAAAGCCAUAGGUGUUUUAGGACGUUCUUGAUAAUUGAUUUCAACGGUCUUAAAAUCUUUUUUCUUUUUCUUUAAUGAUUCUCUUCCUUUUUCACAACUGUGCAGUCACUGUCCUAUUGUGUUCUAUUCUGAAAAACAAAUUUUUUUGAAGGUCAAGUUUUUCAAUGGCACAAAACUAUUUGGAAUGAACCCAAAAGAUAGCGGAAAGUUGGGUCCCUCCUCAAGUAGUUUCCUCCUCUUUUAACAGCAUCUAACUACUCUCUAUCAAUAAUCUCAUCACAGCCGAGUUCUUCGGUCAGACGAUUGACAACCAUCAGUGAAAAAAGCUCUUCGAUAAAAGCUAACUGAUCAAACGGGGUCUUCUCAUAAUGCAUCUGAAACCCGCCAUCCAGGGCUGGUUCUCUUGUUCUCAGAAACAUCUUGUCGGCUUCUUCAAGAGCGGCUGAUACUCUGUAGCCGGCACCACUGAGCUGCUCCUCUUCGGGAUAGUCGUAGUCGUCCUCCCAGUCAUCAAAUUCCUCGCCCUCGUCCUCGCUCUCGAAGUCUGCGCCCGCCACCUGGGCCUCCUCCUCCUCCAUUGGGCCUUCCUCCUCGAGCUGUUGGGCCCCGCUGCGGGAGGGACGCAGGGAUAGCUCCCGGCUCCCGCUGCCUACCUCCAUCUGCGGAAGGUCACCCUCGCCAGGCAUCACAUCCAUCUGCAGGUCACUGCUCUCUUCAUACAGCUCGGACAACUCAGCCAUUUCCGACAUUGUGCAAACCGCUCAACCUCUAGGAAAAAGCUUCCAGCAAG